GACGAACGCUGGCGGCGUGCUUAACACAUGCAAGUCGAACGGAAAGGCCCUGCUUUUGUGGGGUGCUCGAGUGGCGAACGGGUGAGUAACACGUGAGUAUCCUGCCCUUGACUUUGGGAUAACUUCAGGAAACUGGGGCUAAUACCGGAUAGGAGCUCCUGCUGCAUGGUGGGGGUUGGAAAGUUUCGGCGGUUGGGGAUGGACUCGCGGCUUAUCAGCUUGUUGGUGGGGUAGUGGCUUACCAAGGCUUUGACGGGUAGCCGGCCUGAGAGGGGGACCGGCCACAGUGGGACUGAGAUACGGCCCAGGCUCCUUCGGGAGGCAGCAGUGGGGAAUAUUGCACAAUGGGCGGAAGCCUGAUGCAGCAACGCCGCGUGCGGGAUGACGGCCUUCGGGUUGUAAACCGCUUUCGCCUGUGACGAAGCGUGAGUGACGGUAAUGGGUAAAGAAGCACCGGCUAACUACGUG
rnacentral:rRNA from 1 species